AGCCACGCAGUGAGCACGGAGCGAACCAUUCUCUUGCCUUUUACUAUAGAAUACUGUGUGCUCGCUGCUUAAAGUGGCAAACGCCAAUUUUUGAGAGGGUCCACCUUAUUUGGGAUCC